CGUCUACCCAAAAGAUGAUUUCACUGCUAAUAUAAUCUACAAAGAGCUUACAGCUAACAUCACACUUAAUGAAAUAUUCCAGGAGGAAACUUUCCAGAGUUGGUGAACUUGUCCCAGAGUUACACAGAUUAAGAAAAUGUUCCUGCAUAGAAGAGAUGCCAGUAACGUAGAAGGAAUGAAAUGACAAUGCCUGGAAAGCUUUGUGGUGCCGCAGGAUUUGAGAAAGAUUGACUAGGUUUCUUACGGGAUCAGCCACAGAAGACUGAACCUGUGGCUCUCUAUGGUCCUGGACUGUCAGCACUGCCGGAACCACCGUGAUGUUUAAUAGUGUUUCCAGGGGAAACUUCUUUUCCUUGCCAGAGUUGUGAGCUUCUAGUCUACCCAGAAUUAAAUUCUGAUGGCUGUCUCAGGUAGCCACUUACAAAAAGGAGUGUUUGUAAGUAGGUUAUUUAUAAAUAGCAUGCCUCCUAUUUAUGGAUCUUAAAUGCCAAGCAUAUUUGGAAUUCCUUCUGACCUCACCUAGUUUCUCAAUGCCAGCCUCUUACAGAGAUGGAGAGGGGGUUCUGCAUAACCACAAGAAACCCCUCUCCUUUGUAAGUAUAGAUUACCUUUUAAUUGACUUCUCUAACUUUCCACCAGCUGUUUUAGAGUAACAGGCACAAUUUACAUCUGAAAGUUUAUUUUUCCUUAAAAUAUACAUGUGUUUAUCAUAUCUUGAACCGGAACUUCAAAAGGGAAAUUUGGCUCUGUGGGUACCAUGGUAUAUAUCAUAAAAUAUUAAGUGCACAGUGACAUUUCCAAAUUUUAAAUAACAAUUAAUAGCAUGAAAUAAUUUACUCCUUAGCGAUGUAAGAACCUCUAAGAUCAGAUCUCCACCAACUUUCCCACCUUUUUAUUUCCACCACCCAAACUGAACCAUUUACUAUUCUUCUUUCAUACAUGAGUUUCCUAUUCUCAGUGCUGGAUUUGUGGCUUGCUUUCCCUCUGCCUAGAAUACCCUCCCUCUGCUGCUCAAACUUGAUCUCCCUUUAAAUUCUCAGAUGCCAUACCCCUUUGAAAUUCUCUCCUGGCAGUCUGGCUGGGUGAUCUUUCUUUUCCCCUGGCGCCGCAUCUCUUUUGUGAACUGUUUUUCUGUCUUGUACUAUUAUUCUUACACGCAUGAGUUAUUGCCCCUGGUUCUCUAUAAGAUCCUUGAUAAUGUUAUUUCUUACAGUUAACUCAGUGCCUUGUUCUAUACAUAAGAAUCAUAUAUAUUUGAUGUAUUAAUAAAUGAAGAGUAUAAUCCCUUAUAUGACUUGUGUGUGUAGAGCA
ensembl:lncRNA